AUGGAUCUCACAGGACAUUGUAUUAUGUGCCAAAAGACUCCUCUGGGGAUCGGCUUGCCACACUCCACAUCUUCUCACUCUGCAAGGCUUGCAACUGUCCGCUCAGCCCCCACUGGUGGUGCUGCACUGGGAAGGAGUCAGGGAAUACUGCUUCAUCAAGGAUCAAGUCCCCACAGUCCCUGUCCAGAACUGGGGUGCCCCAUGUCUGAGCUCUACAUUCCUUGUCCUCAAGAAACUUACAGAGUCCAGGAAGUAGAGACAGAAAGGCAACUGGCUUCAAUAACAGAGGUAAGAGCUGCGUAUGAGUACUGUUGGUAUCACUCCAUUUAUUUGGAAUCUUAAGCUGUGUCUUAGAGAUAAUGAUAAGCUAUUAGGCCAGUGUCCAAGUAGCUGGGCAGUAUCACCAGAUGCUGUCACAACACCCAGCAUUAGCCACAGUCAUGUCUCCCUAGCUACCCAUUUAAUGAAACACAAAUGCCACAGUCCAGCUACGUGUCUGGGAACAUUACCUCAAAUUCACAAUGUUCAGAAACUCUGCAGAGAGAAGCACUCCUUAAGGAGGACUUCUUAAUGUGUCAGCACUCCUAAUUCCCCUCAUUUUGCUCAGUGAGAUCUUGCUCCAGAAUAAACCAGAUUGACAGAGGUAAUAUGUCUGUCCUGCUUACUAUUCUCCCUACUGUGGAACCGCUCUUCCUGAAAUUUAAUCUUAAGUGACACUCUCCACCUAUAGUGAGAGGGCAUUAGAAAUUCUAGAAAACUGUGGUUUUUGUUAAGGUGCUAUUAGGGAUGCCUUUCAACAUGAAAGUCUCCUACCUGUGAAAGAAACCUGAAAGUGGUUUACGGUCUCAGUGCCAGGAAUAGUUUUCUUCCCACUGAGACUGACUUUUGCUUACCUGGUGACCCUGAUUGGAACUCUACUGAAUCUAAAUUACGACUCAAAUUACAUACGUGAAGGAAGAUUACUUCAUCUGCACCAGAAUUUCACUAAAUUCUUCUCACUUGUGACAAUUUGUAACUCU
rnacentral:lncRNA from 1 species